ensembl:lncRNA
GUGUCGUUCAGUUUCGUGGACUAAUAGUUACUCAGCUUCAAAUAUCCUAUAUGGUUGAUUUAAAUAAUAAUAAAAAAAUGUCACCGACGCCCCCUCCCGCCAGCUCUCAACCACAUCACAACUGUAAAAUAUAUAGGCCUUACAGAGAAUAUAUAAAUAAAUAUAUAGGCAUCAGGAUAGUGUUCGCCUUGGGCCUUGGAAUCACAGCAACAUCUUGUUUAUUUAUUUUUUACUAUAAUCUAUCCCACAUAAUAAAAGUAAUAAUAAAAGCAUAAUUUUAAGCUGAAUCACUAUACUGCGUUGAUGAACUUUAGGAAUAGUUUGUCCUCGUUAAGUGGAAUCGUGAUAGCCUACCUCAGCUGCUGAUUAAACGUGGAUGUGAAUCGUGUCUUGUGUGAACGAUGAAGAUGAGUGUCUCCCAUUUGGCUACUCAAGUUGUAUGUGUCAUAUCAACUUCUAAAAAGCCCCUCGUGUUUGAAGGUUACUUUGUGCAUCUCCAGGGGCUGUCAGCCAUGGGUCCACUGCAAAAUUUACAGCUCUAAAUCAAAGCAUAUGCCGCCAAUAAGGAAGAAACUCUGAAAACAGGGUGUAUGAUAGUAUCUGGGUGCCCCCUAGCGUAUGGAUAAUUUCUACCUCAAAAUACUCUCUUUAACGUGCAGGAGCCAUCUUAAAUAGAAAACGGGGUCUCCGGCUGUUCGUCUCUCGCUAACGCCAAAAGCGACGUGCGCUCAUUUUUAAUCUGAUUAUAGCUUUUGAGACUCGUUUCUAAUUGAAACGGACAUGGCACAGCUAUGGGUGUGCGUACACAUUUUUUAUUCGUGCAUGUUGCAGAAGAAGCGGAAUGUUCUUUGCGUAUUUUGCAGUCAGAUGUUUUUAAAAAGUGAGCUCUGUACUCUGCGAGCCAGAAGUCUUACGCAAAACGGACACGUAGGAAAAAACAACGAUACGUUUUGGAAUUUACUGAAAGCCAUUUUUGUUGCCUGGGGAAUUCUAAAGGACUAUAUGCUAUACUAUACUAGUAUGGUUACAGUAUGUAAGACACCACCCUAAUGUAUUCAUAGGCAUGGGACUUUAUGAGAGUUUGAAAAGUUAGUUUUUUUUCAAAAUGCAGAAUUGAGGUAUUUGAUGAUAUUGCAUUGGUGGCUACUAGAAACAAUAUAAGGCAAAUAUUUGAAAUUAUGAGCCCAGUAAUGUGACAUUUCAUAUAUUAGUCAUACAUGAAUUAUUGUGUUGAAUUCUACUUCUUCUUCCUCUGAUUAUUAUCAAUUAUAUUACUAUUUGGUACACUUAAGAAGAGCAGGAUUUAUUAUAAACUGUGCACAUUUGAUGUUUUUAAUUGUGCAAUAAAUACAAGAUUAAGUCUACAGUAGUUUACAUUUGUAACAGAUUUAUUAUCAUCAUGCUAAUAUGUUAAGUCAGAUACAAUGUCAUUUUCCACUGCCUGAAAAUGAAUUCAAGAAUCGCAUUUGAUGAACUAAAGAGUAAUACAUAUCAUUUUGCAGCAGAGAUUUCAAGUCAUUUAACUACUUUGUAUGUGUCAGUUUUUGUAGAAACUGUAGAUAAAGUCAAGUAUACUUUCCCAAGAAAUGUACAGUUUACUUAACAUUGUAAUCCACACUGUCAUGCAUAGUCUCUAAUGAUCUAUAUCAUUGUAUGUUAUUGUAUUCAAUUAACAUACUGAAUUGUGUUUUGCUUUAUCUGUAGUUGUACAAAUUAUGUAUAAUAGAGAGUAGUAUUAUAUUUUUGUAUCUCACAGUUAGCAGUGGUUGCAGCUCUACCUGAAGUGUAUAUAUAGUGUACAUAUGCUUAAUCUAUAGUGAAAUAAUUGUAAAAUAAACAUUAUGUAAAACACAGCACCUGUUAUUUUUAUUUAUUAAACUGUUCAGUAUAUUGUAAGUAAUUGUUUAGAUUAAAAUCAUUAUUCUAAGCACUUUACUGCAUGCUGUUAUGUGUAUAACAUCUUAAAAAUGCCUGCACUAAUGCGCAAGAGUAUUUUACAUUAGUCUUGUUUAUGAAUGGCAAAUUUCUAGUAAUUGAACCACUAUUUGCUCAUCCUGAAUGGGACUGGAAUGAACAAGUCUGUUGUAUACUUACACACUAUGACAAGCUACUUGGUGGUGAAUUACCACCUGUGCUUAUUCAUCUACUGCAUGGCAUACUCAAAAGAAAAGGGUAAUGUAUAAAGAAUAUUCAUUACAACUGAAAAUAAACACACACACACACACACACACACACACACACACACACACACACACACACACACCAUGUGCAAUGGAAUUUGAAAAUGACAUGAGACAACACUGAUUGUAGUACUCUCUGCCUCAUAGUGCAAAGCUCAGAUUAAUCUUUUCUAUAUACCUAAUGAAAAUGUCACAUCAUAAACAUGUCAUUUAUCUAUUGACAAUUGAUGUAUUAAAUAUUGUAUUGCUAUUUAUGUACUGAGCUUGUGUUCCUGCAUUAUAGCAUCUCAAUCAAGUGUACUUUGAAAGUAUUAUUUUUAUUAUUACCGCUAAGCUUUUGCAUUUGUUUGCAUUUUAAGAGAUCAAAAGAAAUUGAUACUAUUUAUUUAUGAAUUGUGGGCUACCAGGAACAGUUAAGCUGUAGAUAUGGAUGCCUUAUUGAACCAUGUCUAAGCUUAGGGAGUCCAUUAAUGCAUUUAUUAGAUGUGCAUAUGUCAGGGAUCAGUAUGAAGGAGGUGGAAAGACUGCUGCAGAUGCUGAUGAAGAUUCAGUGAAGAUACUAAGCAUAUUAACUAUAUAUAUGAUGAGAAUGACAGUACAGGGAAUUAUAGGUAUUCAGUAAUUUGUAAACAGGGGAAAUGAUUUUUGUAUAGGUAGGUUUGAUUCUAUUGCACUACUGCAUUGUCUUGUUCACCUCUAAAUAGAAAUUAGUAUAUUAGCAAACACUAUUUAGGCUAAUUGAUCUAAUUAAUUGCAGUUUCCAGUACUGCAUUAUGACUGUCAAAAUAGAUUUGAAUGUGAAAAUAUAUCAUGCUUAUGAGAAAUAAAUAAAAUAGUUAUUUAUCUUGUGUAGUCGUGUAGUCAUCCAUCAGUUGUGUAUUUUGUUGCGAGUUUUUAAAUGCGUAUGGUUUAAUGUCAACUGCACAGCAAUAAAUCGUGGACACAACACUGUGUAUUAUUCAUUAACAAAUAUUAAUGUAUAACAUGCCAGGGACAAACUGUGACAGAUUAUCUGACUUAAUGUCACAUUGAUGUUUAGUAAUUUUUUUAUUGUAUAUAUUUCACUAUACUGUAAUAUACAAGGAAGCAAAACAUUUUCAUCCAAAGAAAUUAAAAAAUGGUUGAUCAAACAAAAGCAUGAUGUACAUAUCAGUAGUACUGAUUCUAAACAGUGCUGCAUACUGAUUCUGUCACAUUAACAGCAGUUAAAUAAAUGUGUGCACUGUAUACUCAUUUGUGAUCUUUUGUUCUACUCUUUAUAAAAUUGUACAAAAUACCGCACAUAAAUCUUCUCUGUCUAAUAAAAUGUUGAGGAUAUCAACACAAGAUACUGCACCACUCCCAUUUUAUAUAAUAAAAAAGAACCAUUGUAUGCGAUAAUGCAAAGGGUUUCUCCCGUCAGUCUCCUCUUCAGGAGGUGAAAUGCACGCUCAAUCGAGUAAAGGUUUAAUGAUUGACUUGACCAGUCUAAAACUUUCCACUUUUUCCUCUUUGUUGUGUUGGCAGUGUAUUUAGGGUCACUGUCUUGCUGCAUGAUGAAGUUCCUCCCAUUAGAUUGGAUGCAUAUCUCUGUUGGCAUAGUCAAAUUGGCAGACACACAAAACACAAUGUUUGUGUAGACUUCUGAAUUAAUUCUGCUGCUACCAUCAUGAGUUAAAUCAUCAAUAAAGAUUAGUGAGCCCAUUUCAGAAGCAGCCAUGCAAGCCCAAGCCUUG